GACAGAGGGUGCAAACGUUGUUCGGAAUUACUGGGCGUAAAGCGCGUGUAGGCGGCCAUCUAAGUCGGGCGUGAAAUCCCACGGCUCAACCGUGGAAGUGCACUCGAAACUGGAUGGCUAGAGUCCUGGAGAGGAAGGUGGAAUGCUUGGUGUAGAGGUGAAAUUCGUAGAUAUCAAGCGGAACACCGGUAGCGAAGGCGGCCUUCUGGACAGUGACUGACGCUGAGACGCGAAAGCGUGGGGAGCAAACAGG
rnacentral:rRNA from 1 species